UAGUACGGUUGAACAUUUCAUGAGUGGUAUCUGUCUAGUGCCCUUUUUAUGUUGUACUACUAGUGAUCUUGCACAAAAAGCAGUGCAAUGUUAAAAGGGCAUUGGCCAGUGAUACUGUUCACCUUCCUG